rnacentral:lncRNA from 10 species
CCAAAGUGCUGGGAUUACAGUUGUGAGUCACCGCACCCAGCCACUAAAAGCAAUUUUUACACCUGAGACUAUUUCCCACUAAGCUGAGAUUGUUUUGGUGGGGGGGUUUGUUCUUGGUGGGAAACCGUCAUAAAUGUGACUUGCUAGAAUAUAUUGAUCAAUAUAUAAACACUGAAGCAACUACCCACUCUCUGCUUGCAUGGCAAAGUUGUCCUCCUCAAAAGGGCUGAGAAACUGAUUUCCACAGCCAGCUAGUAGAGUGUGGAGAACUUGGCAAAUCACGAAUGAACAACCUUCUGUCAUCGUUUAGAAACCCCUCUCCUAGUACAGUCAGGCUCCACAAGCUACAAAUACCAUCCAUGAGAUUUGGCUGCCAUGCAUGAUGCCACGUUGCUUGGGCUGGUGGCAUAUUUUGGCUUGUGCGAUGCCAUGGGCUUAUCUAAAAAAGGAAAAAGUCACUCUUAUUUUCUCCAGGAUAAAGCUGAAUUAACUGCUGCAUAGUGACUCUGCUGCAUCACUUCUCUUGGCAGCAGAAGGGAAAUUAAAAGUCUCUUAAGAAUCAGCUGCACCUUAACAGUGCUGGGGGUCCUUUAAACUACCCAGAGACCAGGCUGUCACCUUAAUCGAGUUUAGGAAGCCACCGAGUAUUCUGUGGCAGACCUUUUCUGUUGGCCAGUCCUUUUCAUGCUUCCCUGUGAAAAUUCUUGAAAUAGAGACCCAGAAUACCUAUAAAAUGGUUGCACCAACAGAUGCAGCUUUUUUUUUUUUUUUUGAGACAGAGCCUC